AAUCUGCCUUCAGGAUGGGGACAACAAUUGGAAACGAUUGCUAAUACCCGAUAUGACGAAAGUUGAAAGAUUUAUCGCCUGGAGAUGAGCUCGCGUCAGAUUAGCUAGAUGGUGUGGUAACGGCGCACCAUGGCGACGAUCUGUAGCUGGUCUGAGAGGAUGAGCAGCCACACUGGGACUGAGACACGGCCCAGACUCCUACGGGAGGCAGCAGUGGGGAAUUUUCCGCAAUGGGCGCAAGCCUGACGGAGCAAUACCGCGUGAGG
rnacentral:rRNA from 1 species